AGAUUUUUGAUCUGGCUCAGGAUGAACGCUGGCGGCGUGCCUAACACAUGCAAGUCGAGCGAUCUCUUCGGAGAGAGCGGCGGACGGGUGAGUAACGCGUGGGUAACCUGCCCUGUACACACGGAUAACAUACCGAAAGGUAUACUAAUACGGGAUAACAUACGAAAGUCGCAUGGCUUUUGUAUCAAAGCUCCGGCGGUACAGGAUGGACCCGCGUCUGAUUAGCUAGUUGGUAAGGUAAUGGCUUACCAAGGCAACGAUCAGUAGCCGACCUGAGAGGGUGAUCGGCCACACUGGAACUGAGACACGGUCCAGACUCCUACGGGAGGCAGCAGUGGGGAAUAUUGCACAAUGGGCGAAAGCCUGAUGCAGCAACGCCGCGUGAGCGAUGAAGGCCUUCGGGUCGUAAAGCUCUGUCCUCAAGGAAGAUAAUGACGGUACUUGAGGAGGAAGCCCCGGCUAACUACGUGCCAGCAGCCGCGGUAAUACGUAGGGGGCUAGCGUUAUCCGGAAUUACUGGGCGUAAAGGGUGCGUAGGUGGUUUUUUAAGUCAGAAGUGAAAGGCUACGGCUCAACCGUAGUAAGCUUUUGAAACUAGAGAACUUGAGUGCAGGAGAGGAGAGUAGAAUUCCUAGUGUAGCGGUGAAAUGCGUAGAUAUUAGGAGGAAUACCAGUAGCGAAGGCGGCUCUCUGGACUGUAACUGACACUGAGGCACGAAAGCGUGGGGAGCAAACAGGAUUAGAUCCCCUGGUAGUCCCCGCCUGUAAUUUUUUUGUGAAGGGGAUCUUU
rnacentral:rRNA from 2 species